UACGUAGGGGCAAGCGUUGUCCGGAAUCAUUGGCGUAAAGCGCGUGUAGGCGGUUCGGUAAGUCGGCUGUGAAAGUCCAGGCUCAACCCUGGGAUGCCGGUCGAUACUGCCGGACUAGAGUUCGGAAGAGGCGAGUGGAAUUCCCGGUGUAGCGGUGAAUGACGCAGAUAUCGGGAGGAACGACCAAUGGCGAAGGCAGCUCGCUGGACGUUACUGACGCUGAGACGCGAAAGCGUGGGAGCAACAGGAUAGAUACCCAG
rnacentral:rRNA from 1 species